ensembl:lncRNA
GAAAGAUCUGGCGGUUUUAUUAAUAAGAAAUGUCGGCCCCCAGGAGCAUUAACAAGGAGUUAGAAAGCCUCACAUGAAGGCUGAGUAGCUCUGCAUCACAAGUGCAGACAUGAUAACGUGUUCACUCUCUCCUCUUAACACUCACUUUGACUAAAGGAGAGCCGGCUGAGAAGGUAAAAAAGUAAAAUCAGUAAAAUCAACAUUUGACGUUAUUACAUCAUCAUAUCAUACAGCAUAAUAAAUAUUGAUUAUAGCUGUUUAAGAAAAAUAAUAGAGCUGUUGAUUUAUCCCUGUCAUGUUUUGUGAGGAGACAUUACAGAUUAUUGUUGUCUCGCUGUUUGUCGUCACUGUCCAACAAGUUGAAUCUGAAGUGUUGUGUGUUGUGACUCCAUGGAAACGAGCAGCAGCAGCCUCCCUUGUCUCCCUCAUUUAAGAGGCAUCGGCUUUCAAAGGAGAAGAAGAGGAGGAUGAGGAGGCUGAAGAGGUUUGUGUGUACGUGUGUUUAUGAUCUCUACGUUAUGUCCAUACAGCGCCAGUCUCUGUCACAAAGUGAAGGUCACAGUUACUGGGACGGGACGUGUUCUGGUAGUUGCAGGACCGGUGGAGUCAGGAGCAGAACAUGUUUGUCACGGUGCUGCUCGGUGGUUAGUAGAGUUUCUGGAUUAUGUUCUUGUUGCUUUUAUUGUUGUAAUGUAAAAUGUAACCGUUAACACUGUUGAUGUUGAGUAUAAUUGUUGUUCUUACUAUCAAAUAAUCAAAGCUUAAUGUGUUUUUCUUGACCGACAGCAGGAUGGAAAUCUUCAAUCUCAACUGCAAAUUGAUAAACUUUAUCCAUCAUCUAAAGGAGAGAUGCGGUCUGGACUUCAAAGGCACUGAACAGAUUCCCACAACAUUAGUGGGUUGGACUUGUAUCAUCCUUUUAUCAUUUUUAAAAUCCUCCAUUAAGGGGUAGCAGCGUGCUGGUCGAGAGGCAACGCUACGUCCUGCUGCUGGUGUCCCGAACAAUUAGGAAUGGAUGCAGUGAGGAGGAGAAGCUCCUGCACUCACCACCACACCACACGUUCACAAUGCACGGCCUCCAAGUGAUGUCCUGUCAAAGUACGACUGGCAUCAACAAACAGGGAAGGACCUGAAAGGACCUGAAAGGACCAACCCCUUCUUUCUUUCUGAUUCUCCACUAGGAGGCACUGAUUAGUUAAUUAUGGGAUGUG